CGAACGCUGGCGGCGUGCUUAACACAUGCAAGUCGAACGGAAAGGCCCUGCUUUUGUGGGGUGCUCGAGUGGCGAACGGGUGAGUAACACGUGAGUAACCUGCCCUUGACUUUGGGAUAACUUCAGGAAACUGGGGCUAAUACCGGAUAGGAGCUCCUGCUGCAUGGUGGGGGUUGGAAAGUUUCGGCGGUUGGGGAUGGACUCGCGGCUUAUCAGCUUGUUGGUGGGGUAGUGGCUUACCAAGGCUUUGACGGGUAGCCGGCCUGAGAGGGUGACCGGCCACAUUGGGACUGAGAUACGGCCCAGACUCCUACGGGAGGCAGCAGUGGGGAAUAUUGCACAAUGGGCGGAAGCCUGAUGCAGCAACGCCGCGUGCGGGAUGACGGCCUUCGGGUUGUAAACCGCUUCCGCCUGUGACGAAGCGUGAGUGACGGUAAUGGGUAAAGAAGCACCGGCUAACUACGUG
rnacentral:rRNA from 1 species